GGCGGGGAUAAUUUCAAUGCCAAGCCAAAUCAUGAGGUAAGGAUUUGUCACUUAGCUCCAAAAGUAGGAUUUUCAAUGCGUGGGUGCCAUUUAACACAAAAGCAACACAGGAGUGACUCGGGUGGCAUUUGUGUCUAUGGGGAGAGAAGAUUACAAUUAACUGCUUAGCCUUCUGUUGCAUGUGCUUUACUUCCUUAGGUGAUCAUUCCACCAGCUCUGAGCAACGCAAGUGCAGUAAGUGGACAGCAGACAAGGUGCAAGGAGCCAACUUUGUAGUCCAGGUAAAAUCCACCGCCUGCUUGCUCUGGAGCCGGUUCCAAAGCUAGUGAUGAAAUCAAAGCCUGACUACAUCGUAUGUGCUCCCUUUGUCACAGUGAUACCAUCACUCUCUGCCUCUCUGUCCUGUGAACAUCAAGUGAAUGGAUAAAACAACAGCAAGGGCUUCAAGUAUAUAAAAGACAGUGCAAAGAUAAAUGUAUCUGCUCCACCUAGACAGAAGCAAGGAUCCUCCCCCGCCAUUUGGGACUGGGGGUGGAACCCAAGAGCUUCACAAUGAGCUACAUCACAUGGUUUUGCUAAGUUACUAAGUCAACCAGGCUAGGCUUAGAUUUAUGAUUUUCCCAUCUCAGCCUCCCAGCAUGCUGGGAUCACCAGCACGUACCUCCAUACACAUCCCUCUUCUCUUCUUUAAAACUAGUUCACUGAAGAACUACAUUGCCC
rnacentral:lncRNA from 1 species